rnacentral:rRNA from 1 species
GAUGAACGCUAGCGGCAGGCUUAAUACAUGCAAGUCGAGGGGCAUCAAGGUACACGAAAGUGUAUUGUUGGCGACCGGCGGACGGGUGAGUAAUAGGUAGGUAACCUACCUCAUACUGAGGCAUAGCUGGGAGAAAUUCCAGGUAAUUCCUCAUGAGGUUAUAUGACACAUGUGAUAUAAUCAAAGGUAUCGCAAGGUACUGGUAUGAGAUGGGCUUACUGACCAUUAGCUAGUUGGUGAGAUAAGAGCUCACCAAGGCGAAGAUGGUUAGGGGUUUUGAGAGAGAGAUCCCCCACAUUGGAACUGAGAUACGGUCCAGACUCCUACGGGAGGCAGCAGUAGGGAACCUAUUGGGCAAUGGGCGGAAGCCUGACCCAGCCAUGCCGCGUGAAGGAAGACGGCCUUAUGGGUUGUAAACUUCUUUACUAUGCGACUAACUAGAUUUACGAGAUAAUUCUAUAGAAUGUAGCAUAGCAAAAGCACCGG